AUAAUAAAUUAAAGAGCUGCGGUAUAUUGACUGUACAAAGGUAGCAUAAUCAUUAGUUUUUUAAAUGAAAACUUGUAUGAAAGGUUUGACAAAACAAGUUCUGUCUCUAUUUUUUAAUUAAAAUUUAACUUUUAAGUGAAAAGGCUUAAAUAAAUCAAAGGGACGAUAAGACCCUAGAAGCUUUAUAUUUGUAUUUUAUUAUAAAAAAUUAAUUUAACUAUAAAAUUAAAAUAACUUUAAUUGGUUGGGGCGACAUAUAAAUAAUUUUUAUAACUUUAUAUAUUUAAAACAUUUAUAUAUGAAAUUUAUUGAUCUUUAAUAAAAAUUUUAAGCUAAGUUACUUUAGGGAUAACAGCGUUAUUUUUUCUGAGAGUUCAUAUCGAAGAAAAAGAUUGCGACCUCGAUGUUGAAUUAAAAAUUCUGUUUGGUGCAGCAGCUGAACAAGAAGGUCUGUUCGACCUUUAAAUUUUUACAUGAUUUGAGUUCAGACCGGCGUAAGCCAGGUCGGUUUCUAUCUUUUGUUUAUAAAAAAUUAAUUUA
rnacentral:rRNA from 1 species